UACGUAGGGUGCAAGCGUUAAUCGGAAUUAUUGGGCGUAAAGCGCACGUAGGCGGCUUUGCAAGUCCCAUGUGAAAUCCCACGGCUUAACCGUGGAAGUGCAUGGGAAACUGCAGAGCUUGAGUACUUAAGAGGAUCGCGGAAUUCCCGGUGUAGAGGUGAAAUUCGUAGAUAUCGGGAGGAACACCAGUGGCGAAGGCGGCGAUCUGGGAAGAUACUGACGCUGAGGUGCGAAAGCGUGGGGAGCAAACAGG
rnacentral:rRNA from 1 species